UUUCUUCUUCUGGUCUUUCUCCCUUUCUCUGUUCGAUUGAAAAAGGUUCACGGAACUUGAUUGAAAUUUUUCAUAAACGUAUUGGAGGGUACCAUCGAAUUGGAAGAUUCAAACUUCAAUUCAAGUGCAAACCAAGUCCUUGUAGUAUUGCAAGAAGAAAUGAACCUAGAAAAGAAUUAACGAGGUGAAAGCUUGGAUUUCGCAUGAAAAUGAUGUUGAUUGAGAUGACUACGACGACUAGAGAUUUUGGAGAACUAUUUGUUUAGUUGACUACUUGAUCAAAGAUGUGAUCCGAUUUGAACCUAAUUAUCUUUUAAAAGGAAAGGAACUUAGGUGAGUACAAGCUAUACUAUUUCUAUAGCUAAGAUUCUUAAUUUCAUUCGUAAUUGGUGAUUGAUGAAAUAUUUUAGUA